rnacentral:rRNA from 1 species
AUACGGGAGGCAGCAGUGGGGAAUAUUGCGCAAUGGGGGAAACCCUGACGCAGCAACGCCGCGUGAGUGAGGAAGGACUUCGGUCUGUAAAGCUCUGUUAAUGUGGAAAAAUGGUAGUUGGUCUAAUAGGCCGGCUAUUUGAUGGUACACAUAGAGGAAGCACCGGCUAACUUCGUGCCAGCAGCCGCGGUAAUACGAAGGGUGCAAGCGUUGUUCGGAUUUAUUGGGCGUAAAGCGCGCGUAGGCGGACCUGUAAGUCAGAUGUGAAAUCUCGGGGCUCAACCUCGAAACUGCGUCUGAAACUGCAGGUCUAGAAUCUUGGAGGGGGAAGGGGAAUUUCGCAUGUAGGGGUAAAAUCCGUAGAUAUGCGAAGGAACACCAGAGGCGAAGGCGCCUUCCUGGACAAGUAUUGACGCUGAGGCGCGAAAGCGUGGGGAUCAAACAGGAUUAGAAACCCGUGUAGUCCG